rnacentral:pre_miRNA from 1 species
CACAUACUCCCUCCGUUCGGAAUUACUUGUCUCGGAAAUGGAUGUAUCUAGAAGUAAAAUACGUCUAGAUACAUCCAUUUCUACGACAAGUAAUUCCGAACGGAGGGAGUACUAA